AAUUCAAAUAGAGGUUGCAGACAACAAGAUUAGCUAACGGAGAUGUUACUCGUUAAUGAACUUAGUGAAAGGGUUGCUUGCCGAAGCACUAUGCCAGAGUAGGGACAUGGUUGCUGGGACGUGAUUUAAUAAAUUGCGGACUGUCGCAGAUAUUCUGCGGGGAGCUAUUCAAGAA
rnacentral:ncRNA from 2 species